GAUGAACGCUGGCGGCGUGCUUAACACAUGCAAGUCGAACGGUGAACCCGGAGCUUGCUCUGUGGGAUCAGUGGCGAACGGGUGAGUAACACGUGAGCAACCUGCCCCUGACUCUGGGAUAAGCGCUGGAAACGGCGUCUAAUACUGGAUAUGUGACGUGAUCGCAUGGUCUGCGUCUGGAAAGAAUUUCGGUUGGGGAUGGGCUCGCGGCCUAUCAGCUUGUUGGUGAGGUAAUGGCUCACCAAGGCGUCGACGGGUAGCCGGCCUGAGAGGGUGACCGGGCACACUGGGACUGAGACACGGCCCAGACUCCUACGGGAGGCAGCAGUGGGGAAUAUUGCACAAUGGGCGCAAGCCUGAUGCAGCAACGCCGCGUGAGGGAUGACGGCCUUCGGGUUGUAAACCUCUUUUAGCAGGGAAGAAGCGAAAGUGACGGUACCUGCAGAAAAAGCGCCGGCUAACUACGUG
rnacentral:rRNA from 1 species